UCUAACUUAAGCAACGUAAGCCCUACCUACUCUUACGUCCUUGCGACCCCCCCUCAGCCGCGCCAGUGUGAAUAAGCAUCUUCAAAAAAAC
rnacentral:sRNA from 1 species